AUUGAACGCUGGCGGCAUGCCUUACACAUGCGAGUCGAACGGCAGCACGGGUGCUUGCACCUGGUGGCGAGUGGCGAACGGGCGAGUAAUACAUCGGAACGUACCUUAUCGUGGGGGAUAACGCAGCGAAAGCUGUGCUAAUACCGCAUACGCCCUGAGGGGGAAAGCGGGGGAUCGCAAGACCUCGCGCGAUUAGAGCGGCCGAUGCCUGAUUAGCUUGUUGGUGGGGUAAAAGACCACCAAGGCGACGAUCAGUAGCUGGUCUGAGAGGACGAUCAGCCACACUGGGACUGAGACACGGCCCAGACUCCUACGGGAGGCAGCAGUGGGGAAUUUUGGACAAUGGGGGCAACCCUGAUCCAGCAAUGCCGCGUGAGUGAAGAAGGCCUUCGGGUUGUAAAGCUCUUUUGUCAGGGAAGAAACACCGGCUCUAACACAGUCCGGGAAUGACGGUACCUGAAGAAUAAGCACCGGCUAACUACGUGCCAGCCGCCGCCGUAA
rnacentral:rRNA from 1 species